ensembl:lncRNA
AUGACAGAGCAGCCGGCUGUGGUGAGUGAAAGGGACACUUUUCCUGCUGCGUCAGAUUCAGUGACUGUGUUUUCUGGCGCUAUUUUUUGUGUGCCUUCUGACGCUAACAAUGAUUUUUCUGUCUCACCCAUGGCCAUUGCGCUUCAGACUUCCUUUUCUGAGCCUACGUUCAGAGUUAAUGACUGUGUUCACACUGUUUCUGAGCCUGGAGUUACUGAGUUUAGCAUUAUGAGUUUAGAGAAUGAAAAUGUUUGGGACUCUUUUUCAUCUGCACUGGUCAAUUCAGGGGAAGCUGUAGACCUCACUGAAACAGAGCUUCCUGACCAUAUUCCCCCAUCCACACCUUCACCACAAUUCAAUGUGGGGUCUGUAACACAGUUAGCAGUACAGUUAGCAGUUCAGUCAGCAGGCCAGCUGCCCUCAGUUCAGUCAGCAGGCCAGCUGCCCUCAGUUCAGUCAGCAGGCCAGCUGCCCUCAGUUCAGUCAGCAGGCCAGCUGCCCUCAGUUCAGUCAGCAGGCCAGCUGCCCUCAGUUCAGUCAGCAGGCCAGCUGCCCUCAGUUCUGUUGGCCUCUCCACCACCUAUUACGCCUUCACUACAGUCGUCUCCGCUACCUGUAGGUCAGUCUGUAGUCGCUCCGCUGCCUAUAGCUCAGCUGCCACUUGUUCAUCUGUCUGCUCACUCACUCAUUCAGUCACCAUCCUCACCGUCUCGUUACGAGCAGGGAACACACUUCACCACGACAUCUGCUGGUUCUCUUAAGCUGGUCACCUCAGAGACAGUUGCUCCCUCUAGGGCCUCCCCAGAGGCUGGGUGUCACUCACCAGCUGACUCUGGACCCCUAGAGGUCAAGACGCCAGCGCCAGCAGUUUCACUGGGGAACUCACCAGAGCAGUCUCGGCUCUCAGCGCCCCCUGAGAGCUCAAGUGAUUUCACCCGUCCGCCUCCGUCCUCUGCUGAGUGUAUUGGGGAACACUUUCAGCCCUCUGAGGACUGCAUCCCACUGUUGCUGCCUGAGUCUAGCCACUGUGCUGCUCAGUUCCAGCCAGUGUCCACACCGGCAGAGGUCUGCGUACCUGCUGCCUCAGUGUCUGUUUCCGCUGGAGGGCCCGAGUCGCUCGUCCAGCCUCAAGUUUCGUUAGCUGGGGGUUUGGGAGAACCCAGCCAGCAUCCUGCCUCGUCGGCUGGAGGGCCUGAGGAGCCCGUCCAGCCUCAAGUUUCGUCUGCUGGGGGUUCGGGAGAGCCCAGCCAGCUUCAAGUUUCGUCUGCUGGGGGUUCGGGAGAGCCCAGCCAGCUUCAAGUUUCGUCUGCUGGGGGUUCGGGAGAGCCCAGCCAGCUUCAAGUUCCGUCUGCUGGGGGUUCAGGUGAACCCAGACAGCAUCCUGCCUCGUCAGCUGGGGGUUCGGAGGAGCCCAGCCAGCUUCAAGUGUCGUCAGCUGGGGGUUCGGGAGAGCCCAGCCAGCUUCAAGUUCCGUCUGCUGGGGGUUCAGGUGAACCCAGACAGCAUCCUGCCUCGUCGGCUGGGGGUUCGGAGGAACCCAGCCAGCAUCAAGUGUCGUCUGCUGGGGGUUCAGGUGAACCCAGCCAGCCUCAAGUGUCGUCAGCUGGAGGGCCCGAGGAGCCCGUCCAGCCUUAUGCCACGUCUGCUGGAGGGUCCGAGGGGCCCGUUCAGCCUCCUGUCUCCGCUGGAGGGUCCGAGGGGCCCGUUCAGCCUCCUGUGUCGUCUGCUGGAGGGUCCGAGGGGCCCGUUCAGCCUCCUGUGUCGUCUGCUGGAGGGUCCGAGGGGCCCGUCCAGCCUCCUGUGUCGUCAGCUGGUGGGUCCGAGGAGCCCGUCCAGCACCACACCUCGUUAGCUGAGGGUCCUGGAGGACCCAGACAGCACAUCCUCUCGUCUGCUGGCGGUCCGGGGAGGGCUGUUCAGCCAUCACCGGCUAAAUCAUCCCCCGCGACAUCUACAUCUCCGCCUGCAGCAUCAUCAUCUCCGCCUGCAGCCGCAGCAUCAUCAUCUCCGCCUGCAGCCGCAGCAUCAUCAUCUCCGCCUGCAGCCGCAGCUUCAUCAUCUCCGCCUGCAGCCGCAGCUUCAUCAUCUCCGCCUGCAGCCGCAGCUUCAUCAUCUCCGCCUGCAGCCGCAGCUUCAUCCGCAGCCGCAGCUUCAUCCACGCCUGCAGCCGUCCCGCUGCCGUCAGGUUCCGCAGCCGUCCCGCUGCCGUCAGGUUCCGCAGCCGUCCCGCUGCCGUCAGGUUCCGCAGCCGUCCCGCUGCCGUCAGGUCCGGCCCCCGUGUCUUCAUCCACGCCUGCAGCAUCAUCGCCUGCAGCCGUCUCGCUGCCGUCAGGUUCCGCAGCCGUCUCGCUGCCGUCAGGUUCCGCAGCCGUCUCGCUGCCGUCAGGUUCCGCAGCCGUCUCGCUGCCGUCAGGUUCCGCAGCCGCUCCGCCGUCGCCUGGUCCUGCCUCGUCGGCUUCGUCCACGCCUUCGUCCUCGCCAGGUCCGGCUUCGUCCACGCCUUCGUCCACGCCUGGCCCGGCUUCGUCCACGCCUUCGUCCACGCCUGGCCCGGCUUCGUCCACGCCUUCGUCCUCGCCAGGUCCGGCUUCGUCUGGUCCUGACUUGUCCACGUCUGGCCCUGCCUCGUCUGGUCCUGCGGUUGCUACACCGUCAUGGGACCCAGCUCGUCCUGUUCCGCCUCCCCUCUGCCGGCCGUUUUCCAGGCCUCUAAGUUGGCGUCAUGGCCGUCGAGGUCGGCCUCCGGAGGGAGAUCGUCGCCGCUGCUGGCAUUGCAGCCGACCUCCGGAUCUGCUCAGUGGCCGCCGUUGCCGUGUGCACGGUCGGCCUCCGGAACUGUUUGCCCGUUGCCGUGUGCACGGUCGGCCCCCGGAACUGUUUUCCCGUCGCCGCCAUUGCCGUCCGCACGGCCGGCCCCCUGACCUGUUUUGGCUCCUGUGUGGCCGACCCCCGGGUCGACCUCCUGAACUGUUUAUGGACUCUUGUUGAGCUUUGGUUUUUGUAUUUUCCUGUGCUUUGGGACUGUUUUCUUGUGUUUUUGAACUGUCUUGCUCCUUGUUUUUUGUUUGGUUUCUUUCCCUCCGUCCUUGACCCCCUCCACCCGCCCUGGUCUGGUGCUUUGUUGUGGUUUUUCGUUUAGGGCUGUCGGGAGCCAGCCCUUAGAGGGGGGUACUGUCACGGUUCUGGGUCCGUUGGACCCAGUAUUUUGAGUUUAUUAUGCUUUGGUUUAUUUUGCAUCUGGGAUUGUUUUAUUGUUCUCUUGUUGUGGUGAUGAUUAUGAUGUCUAUUAGUUUCAUGUUUCUGUUUAUUUGUGUUUAAGGAAUGGUUCUUAGUUGUAUCUCACGUUUAGUUUAGUUCAGGUUCCAUGUGUCAUUUUCCAUGUGUCUCUCAGUGUCGGGUCUGCGUCUUUGUGUAGUGUUCUUGUUUCCUGUUUUAUUGUGAAGGUCUGCGUCUCAUGUGAGUGUGUUCAGUUUUACCUCUGUCUCGUCUUGUUAAUUACUCCCAGCUGUGUCCACCACCUGUGUGUAAUCUCCCUGUGUUUCUCUGUGUGUAUUUAAGUCACGUCUUUAGUCAUUGUUGUUGCUGGUCCGUCUGCGUAUCCACCCUGUUUCAUUCUGUGUGUUUCCCUGCCGUCUUCCAUCAUUCCGUCUCCUGCUAUUCGUGUUCAGGUUUGUGCUCUUGUUCAGGCUCCGUAGUUUAGUUUACCCAGUAUAGUUCAGUUCUCCGUUUGCUGUUUGUCCAUUUCCUUUGUGUUUAAUAAACCACCCUCUCACCGGUACAAGUGCCUGCGUUUGGAUCCUCCUUUAAUUUCCACACGGCCCCUCUCACUCGCCGUGACAGCCCCAGGGACAGUGCAGAGUGUACACUAUGAACAUUUCUGUCUAAAAAGACACUGUUAGUAUGUUUGAUCAAUAGUGUGCUGCGUACAUGCUUUCCCCCUGGUGAAUGUGAGGAAGAGUUGCUUACCUGCACCUCCAGAUUGUUAUUUAUGCUGAUGACUCAAGAACCAGUUGCAUCAGGAUGUGUCCUCACUGGAGUCUUUGGGUUAGCUGUUCCACAUCUAGGGAUACUUCUUGUUGGGGGGAUCUCAUGUGAGAGUUUGCCCAAGUACUUAAGGACUUGAAGAAGCGUAUCACUGCAUCCAUCAGACUCUCUUAUGGGGAUCCUUUGGGAGUGCUUAGUGAGGGCUUGGUUCACAUUGCCAGCAAUGAGUUAGAUUUGUUGCCACUGAGCCAGCCUAGUGUCUGUGAUUUAUCAUAUGAAUACAAGUUCUUGGCUUAGCUAACAGAAUAUCCAGUUCUGGGUAUUGGGCUUGCGUUUAGUAGAUGAUGUGGUCCUGUUGGCUUCACUGGGCAGCGAACCUCAGGUUCCAUAGGGGCAGAGUCACUACUACAUUUCAAACUAGGGUUCAUCGCUAGGAAAGACUGGAUUGCCUGCCUCAAGUGGAUGUGUUUUAAGUGUCUUGUGGCCUUGAGGAAAAAGUGGGCUGUGAGGUUGAUGGAUGUUGCAACAUCUCCAGUGAUGUGGUAUCAUGUAUGUAUCAUGGUCAGUACACAUAAACAAAACAGUGAAGAAGGCGCAGCAGCGCCUCUUCUUUCUCAGGAGACUGAAAAGAUUUGGCAUGAGCCCCCGCAUCCUCAGGACCUUCUAUCGCUGUGCCAUUGAGAGCAUCCUCACUGGAUGCAUCACCACCUGGAAUGGCAACAGCACCGCUUACAACCGCAAAGCUCUCCAGAGAGUGGUGCGGUGCUCUGAACGGAUAAUUGGAGGUGAGCUUCCCUCCCUCCAGGACAUCUACAGGAAGCGGUGCCUGAGGAAAGCAGGGAGGAUCAUCAAGGACUCCAGUCACCCCAGCCAUAAACUCUUCAGACUACUUCCAUCAGGAAGGAGGUUCUGCAGCAUCCGGUCCUGUACCAGCAGACUGAGAGACAGCUUUUUCCACCAGGCCAUCAGACUGCUGAACACGUCAUAGACACCUCACCUUCACUACUGGAACUUCAACAUUAUGCACUCCACACUGUACAUUAAUGCCACUGUUUUGCACAUACCAACCUCUGUACAUUUUAUAUAUCUUAUUUUAUUGUUUACUCUAUUUCAUUUGUAAAAUAUGUAUAUACACACUCACUCACUCACACACACACACACACACACACACACACACACACACACACACACACACACACACACACACACACACGUAGAAAAACAUAUUUAGUAUACACAUCCAAUAAUGCAUAUACUCUUAUUGUACAUAUAUUUAUUACUUUCAGAUUUAGCCAUUCUUAUAUUUUUGCUUGUUUUACGUUAUUGUAUUUUUGCACAACUCUGUUGCUUGAGAAGCUCGCACACAAGAAUUUCACUCGCAUGUACUGUACCAGUGUACCUGCACAUGUGACAUGACAAUAAAAGUGAUUUGAUUUGAUUUGAUGUAGAGUGCAGAUGUGGACCCAGAUACAGACUGGUUUGCAGAGUUAAAAAAACAAAAACACAAACCUUUAUUUAGAUAAAUGGAAAGUCCGACAAACUCAAACCAGAAGACACAGACAGGAAGAACCACAGCGAACAAACAGCGCGACCCAACAAAGGACGGAGACAAACCGAGACCUAACACACACGAAUGAGGCAAUCAGGGGAAUUGGACAUGAUACAGUUGUAACUAAUGAAAUGAAACAUGGAAAUAAACUGAAUACAAAGCACAGGAACACGUGACUAUCAAAAUAAUAUGGAAGGUAAUAAACAAGCAACAAUAACAGAGAGAUGGAGACUUAAUUAAAAACAGGGAAGGCAGGAAAAACAAAAAUAACAACAAACUACAACCAUGAACAUAACCAGAUUACAAACUGACAGGGUGACUAUAAACAACAAAUGUAACCUACAAAACAGAUAAAACCAAAGUUUUAAUACCUGAAAAGGAAACUUAAGAAACAAGCUAUGUAAUAAUACACAAACUGGAAGGAUCAGAAAAGAGAAUCAGUAACACAGGGUAACAGACCCAGGACCAUUAAUAUUAAUUUAGAUAAAUAUAUUCAUAUAUUAAACUGGACUGCAUGGUCUCUGCUCUUUUUCCCUCCGCGAUCUACUUCCGUGGCCCAACUGCUGGUUAUGCAACAAAUAUGCAGAAAACUAAGAAAUGACAAAGGAUGCAGAUACUUUUUGAUGGCGCUAUAACCGUGAGGAGUGAAAGAGUGGAACAGAAACCGAAUUGCUCGAUUCAUUGUGGGAAGUUCCCCCAACAGCCUCAGACUCUAAUAACAUAACCAAGAGAUGGUUCAGAGUCUAUGAGGUGUAUGCUGUAUCAAAAAGGACAGCUUUAAGCCUAAUCCUUAAAUUAGAGACAUGUCUGCCUCCACAAUCCAAACUGGAAGCUGGUUCCACAGGAGAAGAUCCUCACAGCUGAAUUCUCUCUUAUUGCAAUUGAUUUUUCACAUGCAUCUCUCAGUCCUCCAUAGCUCGUCUCCAUAGCUCGUCUCCAGCUGAUGCAGGACACAGCAGCAAGGCUGCUAAUGGAAUGACUGGAGGAUUUUAUGGGUUAGGCUUUCUUUAAUCUUCUCCCCUUUAUUUUUGGCCAUAGUUUGCAACAAUGCAUGCAUGCAUGUGUGCAUGUUGGAACCAGUGUCUGUUGUUAUAGCUGAUUGUGUGUCUGUAUGUUUUAAAAUGUACACUAACAUGUUUUUUUUCUUACCCCAUUAUUUGAAACCUGGUUCCAUAUUACUCGAACAUUCACUGUAACAUUAUAUCCACUGUACCACAGAUCUGCUCCAUCUCACCACUGGUCGUCCAGACUCUCUUUUCUCUGGAGGAAACCUUUGCAAUUGGUUAUGGCUACGUUCCAAACACAUGGACAUGGAAUUGCAGCCAUGCCCGUGUGAGGAAAAGCUGCUGUCGUUCUUUGGGGUUUUCUGGAGUAGUCCUGGGAGGAAAGAUUUUAAGCAUUAGCUCUAAGCACUGUCUCAGCUCUGUCAAAAAUAACCUACUGCAGAGCAUGCUAGUGUAUAGCACAAGUUACCAUGGUGAUGUACCCUGAUAAGAAGCGACCCACUGUUGUGACACUGAAGGUCUAAAUUUGAACUUACCUCACUAACCACAUAUGAGUAAAUGAUAAUCACAGAUGAGCUCGCUGGAUGUUUGGGGGCGGGGGGGGGGGGGGGGCAGGAGGACAAGCACUGCUUGGUAAGAACAUGAAUCAUUGAAAAUGAGGGUUGGCACACACUCUGCACUGUCUAACAGCUUUGGCCUUGAUAGAAUGAGAAGCCUAAAGGAAACACACGCUUUGUAUCUCACUUGAAACUGUGGGAGAGAGAAGACAAAAUCCACACACAGCCAGUAAACACAGUGUGCCAGUAUAGGUGCCACAGCUGUAUGCUGGCUGAGAGGAUGGUGUCAUGCUGCCACGACAGGGCUGGAGCCCAGACCUGUGCCUCCAACACCUCAGGGACCACUGGCUGCACA